UAUACACAUUGAUAAGGUCCCGCCUCAGCCUCCUCUACUCCAGGCUGAACAGUCCCAACUCUCUCAGUCUUUCCACAUAUGAGAGAUGCUCCAGUCCCUUCAUCAUCUUAGUGGCCUUCUGCUGGACUCGCUCCAGUACGUCCAUAUCUCUCUUGUAUCGGGGAGCCCAGAACUGGACACAGUACUCUGGAUGCGGCCUCACCAGGGCUGAGUAGAGGGGGAGGAUCACCUCCCUCAACCUGCCGGCAAUGCUCUUCCUAAUGCACCCCGGGAUACCAUUGGCCUUCUUGGCCACAAGGGCACAUUGCUGGCUCAUGGUUAACUUCUUGUCCACCAGGACCCCCAGGACCUUCUCCACAGAGCUGCUUUCCAGAAGGUCAUCCCCCAGCCUGUGCUGGUACAUGAGGUUAUUCCUCCCUAGGUGCAGGACCCUACACUUGCCUUUGUUGAACUUCAUGAGGUUCCUCUCUGCCCAUCUCUCCAGCCUGUCCAGGUCCCUCUGAAUGGCAGCACAGCCCUCUGGUGUAUCAGCCACUCCUCCCAGUUUUGUAUCAUCAGCAAACUUGCUGAGGGUGCACUCUGUCCCUUCAUCCAGGUCACUGAUGAAGAAGUUGAACAAUAUUGGACCCAGCAUUGACCCCUGGGGCACACCGCUAGUUACUGGCCUCCAAGUAGACUUUGCACUGCUGAGCACAACCCUCUGAGCUUUGCCAUUCAGCCAGUUUUCAGUCCACCUCCCUGUCUGCUCAUCUAGCUUGCACUUCCUCAGCUUGCCUAUGAGGAUCUUAUGAGAGACAGUGUCAAAAGCCUUGCCGAAGCCAAGGGAGACAACAUCCACUGCUCUCCCCUCCUCUACCCAGCGAGUCAUCCCAUCACAGAAGGCUCUCAGGCUGGUUAAGCAUGAUUUCCCCUUUGUGAAUCCAUGCUGACUACUACUGAUCACCUUCUUAUCCUUCAUGAGCCUGGAAAUGGUAUCCGGGAUGAGCUGUUCCAUCAUCUUCCCAAGGAUUGAGGUGAGGCUGCCUGGCCUGUAGUUCUGGAAAAGGAAAGUCAAACAAAGGAAUUCAGAUCUCGUUAUGCACUGAUUUACUGAAAGAUCAGGAGUGCUUAUAAGCCGGCAUACUGUUUCACAACUUCAAUGCACUCUGGCAAACAGAAAGACACAACACAAGCAGCUACUGAUCAACAACCUUACAACGUUAACUGAUAAGAGCAAUGGCCAGAACAUGGAACUAUUCCUGUGAGUCAAGACUUCAGCAAUACCUUGAUAUUUGUGAAUUAUGCAGAAUUUGCUUAUAAUACACAGACUUAUCCAGCUCUAUUGCCUAGAGAAAAACACAUUUUAUCAUCACUAUUCAUGCCUUCCAUUCUUGACACCUCUUUGAAAGCACAAGAAGUGCUGCCUUGUGUAACAUUGUGGUCAUCCGCUCUAGGGAGAGAUUCCUGCUACAUUAUGAGUUGGUGGUAAGCCUUACUUUCUGGCAUAAUAAAAAUAGAUGGUCUGUCAAAAGAUGAUGUUCUCAAUGCUUUGUUUUGUAGUUCUAUCCUGCCAUCUUCUCUGAAUUAGCAAAUGUGAAAUGCAGCAUAUGGAUUUAUGAAAAGAAAAGUGCAAGAUGUGAAAUAUCCUGAGUAUCUGGAUCUUCGAACAUACGCAUCUCAAUCCGUUGGAGAACCACUCCUCUAUGCCUUAUAUGCAGUCCUGGUAUAUAGAGGUGUCAGUAGUCAUGCAGGACGUUAUUUCUGCUACACAAAGAAAGUGUGCAGUUCCUCUGAAGACAUGGCUGCUUUUAUUUGCAGGCUGCUGGUAGACUUUGAUAUGAGAUGAAUGAUGCCUCUGUAGUCUUUUGUGAAAUCAAAAUGGUUCUCAGUCAGCAAGCUUAUUUACUUUUUAAUAUCAGAAAUCAAGUCAUUUAAAUGGAAAUGAACCCCUAAAAGAAGAUCCAAAUACCAUUGCUGUUACCCUAGAAAGGCCUUCUUCGGCUCCACCAACAGCUUGUGUUCAAAACUAGGCAAUUACCAGGCCUUUAUUUGCUGAUCCCUCAGAAAAACAAAAGAUCACUUCAUAACAAACUGCCUGCACAUCAAACUGUCUCAGCCUGACUGUUUUAGCAGUGCUGUGGUGGAUGAGGAUCUAAACAAGCCUGUUCCUUCAUCCACAGUGUGGCGGACAGAUGAGUGAAUUUUUGCCUUAAACGUUUCUUGGUACAUAAGGUGAAAGCCUUUCUGCGCACAUUGCAGAUUUUGCAGGAAACCAUAACCCCGAACAAGCCAUC